rnacentral:rRNA from 1 species
UACGGAGGGUGCAAGCAUUAAUCGGAAUUAUUGGGCGUAAAGGGCGCGUAGGCGGAUAAAUAAGUCAGAUGUGAAAUUUUGAGGCUCAACUUCGAAGCUGCAUUUGAAACUAUUCAUCUCGAGGAUUGGCGGAGAGAACGGAAUUCCACGUGUAGCGGUGAAAUGCGUAGAUAUGUGGAAGAACACCGGUGGCGAAAGCGGUUCUCUAGCUUAUACCUGACGCUGAGGCGCGAGAGCAAGGGGAGCAAACAGG